GCCCCCGUAGCUCAGAGGAUAGAGUAGCGGAUUCCUAAUCCGUUGGUCGCAGGUUCGAUUCCUGCCGGGGGCG
rnacentral:tRNA from 1 species